CCCCACCACCAUGCCCAGCUAAUCCUUUUUUGUAUUAUUUUUAGUAGAGAUGGCCAUGUUGGGCAGGUUGGUCUCCUGCAAACCCCUGACCUCAGGUGGGAUCACCCUCGUCCCACCCUGCUGCUGGACAAUUGAUGAGCCUGUACCUGGCCCAUAUCAGUCCUCUUUGUAAUAUGUCCCAAACUGGAACCAACCCAAAUGCCUAUGAACAAGGAGUCUGGAUAAACAAAUUAUGGUAUAUCCAUACAAUGGCAUACUAUUCAGCAAUAAGAAGGAAUGAGCUACUAAUACACACAUAACAUGGAUGAAUAAUUAUGCUGAGUGAAAGAAGCCAGACCAAAAACAGUACCUAUCGAAUGAUUCUGUUUAAAUAUAAUUCUAGAAAAUGCAAACUAACCUAUAGUGACAGAAAGCUGACCAAUGAUUGCCUGGGCCAAGUGUGGGGUUCAUAGAAGGCAGGGAGGGAAGGAUGCUCUUUAAACUUCUGGGUGUGAUGGAUACACUUAUCAUCUUGAUUGUGGUGAGGAUUUUACAGGCGUAGACCUAUGCCAAAACUCAUCAAAUCAUAUUUUUCAAAUAUGUGCAGCUUAUGAUAGGUCAAUUGUACCUUAAUGAAGCUGUACAAUUUUAUUUGUAAUGUUCUUGUAUCCUAAGAUAUAAACUGUACAAAUUUUAUUUGUAAUGUUACUAUGUAUACAAUAGUUUGUGAAACUGCGUGGCCAGCAAAACAAACAUCUUACUCACUUAGGGAGAUAGGACCAACAAAUCUAAAAGCUAAAUAAAAGCACAAGUGUUAAACAAGAUGAAACGGAGGAUAUUUGUAAAUACUAAAGCAAUGUGUUUUAAUUUCCCUUCAAACUCAUGUUCCUUUGCAGCUUUCAUGGAGACAGCCCUGAUGCUUAUAACCAGAGAACUGAAAAGAGCUGUUACCUGACUUCAUUUUAUUUUUUGAGACAGAGUCUCGCUCUGUUGCCCAGGCUGGAGUACAGUGGCAUGAUCUUGGCUCACUGCAACCUCCUCCUCGUGGAUUCAAGCGAUUCUCCUGUCUCAGCCUCCUGAGUAGCUGGGAUUACAGGUGCAUGCCAGCAUGCCCAGCUAAUUUUUUGUAGUAUUAGUAGAGACAGGGUUUCAUCAUGUUGGCCAGGCUGGUCUCAAACUCCUGACCUCAGAUGAUCCACUCGCCUCAGCCUCCCAAAGUGCGGGGAUUACAGGCAUGAGCCACUGUACCUCACCCAAUCAUUGGUUUUUAUAAAACAAAAUAUUAUAGCCACAAAAAAUAUCCCAUAACCAUUCUUCCCUACUCCUAUUGUGGUAGGAAAAAAACUAGUUCUUGUCACACAACCAGGAAAAGCUUCACCCUCCCUCUAUGCCCAGAGGUAACCAUGACUUGAAUUUAGUGUUGUUGUUGUUGUUUUAUUUUUAAUUUUUGUGGCUACAUAGUAGGUGUAUGUAUUUAUGGAUUACAUGAGUUUUGUUUUUGUUUUUGUUUGCUUUUCAAGACAGGGUCUCACUCUGUCAUCCAGGUUGGAGAACAGUGGCGUGAUCCCAGCUCACUGCAACCUCUGACUCCUGGGUUCAAAGGAUCCCCUCACUUCAGCCUCCC
ensembl:lncRNA